AAUAAGUGUAGUUUUGCACUAUUCAUCUCCAAUAUUUGACCGUUCGUUUUAUUUGAAAAUUUUUUAUGAUUACUAUUUUUAUUGCUAUUAGAUGAUAGAACAUGAAUAGUAUUUUAUGUGUGACUAAUUCUUUUAAAAAAUUUUAUAAAGUUUUCAAAUAAGACGGACGGUCAAAUGUUGGACACGAAUUUUCACGAUUGCACUUAUU
rfam:Oryza barthii chromosome 6, whole genome shotgun sequence.